GGAUUUUUUAGAGUGACCUUGAGGAUUAAAAUCUCUUGGUAAAUCAUACAUCAUGAUACGUGGAGUUCAUGUAACACUGUGUAGUAUCAGGCUGAUGUAGGGGUGCAAAAGUCACCAGCUAAGACCCAGGGGCAGUUUCUCCAGCCACAGGAUUCAUCCUAGAGAAUGAUUAAAGGAGGCAAUUUUUUUUCUACUCUUUGUUUACUUGCUAUGAAUCAUCUCCUCUUAAGAAUUCAUUGUGCAGAUUUAUAUAAGGAGACAAAGAACUGUUUAAUCAUCUGGUCUACCCUGUUCAGAGUGCAAACCUGGCACUAUACCAGCAGGAGUGCCAGUGUCUCAGUGAAAGGCAAAGCAGCAACAUCCCCUGGUAGUUCUUGCUCCAGGAGUUGAGGUCACAACUAUACAGCGUAGGAGGGCAGCCUGCUCCUCACCACCUCUGCUUCACUGGGACCACAUCCAGGUGCCUUUGGAAGAUCUUCAAGGAGGUGACUCCUAAUAAACUAUUAUUCUCUUCUGUAAGGAAGAACAUUCAUUUUUAAUUCUUCACUUCAUCCCCAGAGAACUAGGGUGCAAUGAAAAACUCUCCUUUAACAUGUCCAAGUGAAGGGCCAGGCUCCAUGCCAGUUACAAAUUCCCUAUUCCAGGCGAUUAACAACUGACAGUUGAGCUGUUAAUGUCGAAAGUAGCCUGAUCCUCACUUAUCAUCUGCAUCAUGAAGAAAAUGCCACUUGUGAAGGGUUUCUGAAGAAGCUGCUAAAUGAAGGUGACAGACUGCUAAAUGAAGGUGAAGUUUCCUUGUGUGUGCAUGUAGUUAACAGCACUUAUUUUUAUUUCCAUAAACUCUGACACACAGUUUAAGUCAUGUUCAACCCAAUUCCUUCCCAGCACAAACUCAAGUCCACACUUGUGUUUGUGUCUUGUUCACCAAGUCUGCCAUCCCAGCCAGAAGGUUCAAGAAAACCUUCAUUUUAAUGCUCUUCAGUUCCACAUCUGUUUCCCAUCAAAUUUUUUUUAGAUUUCCCUAAUGCCUUUUUUUAAAAAAAACUGGUCUCAGCCUGAUCCUAUGGAGAAGAGGAAAGAGAAUUUGCCUAACUUCCUGUGUAACAGUGGAGGCACGAAGAAAGGAAGAAGAAAUAGAAUUUACAUAAGGCAAUCAUUGAUUAAAAAUCCAAGUACAAGGUAUGAUUGAUUGCAUCUCCUGCUUCUGUUAUUUUUGAAGCAUUAAGGACAUGAAUAGCUCAAUGGGUGACAAGAAAAGUGUCAGGUUGUUAAAAAAGUUGCAGACUCAUGCCUUUAGAUCUAAAAAUUAUCGAGCUGCAGCUCAAAGGUGAAAAACUUACCCCCAGGCGAGGAGGGUGUGACUCAUCAUCUCAACAUAAAAUGUACAUAACAGACUUCUGAAUAAAUUUGGUCUUUAUAAGAUCUGUGAAGGCCAAGUUGAAGUGACUGGAGAUGAAUACAAUGUGAAAAGUGUGGAUGGAAAGCCUGGUGCUUUCACAUGUUACCUUGAUGCAGAUCUUGCCAGAACUACUACUGGAAACAAAGUCUUUGUGUGAAAUAAUCAGAUGCUAUGUAUGGGAAAAGGACCACAACAGCUGUGACACAUUUUUACUCUUUUCAUUUGCACACUUGGUCCAGAUUUGGCCUCUCUUACUCAAUUUAAAUAGUUCCUCACCAUGUAGUCAUGAAUGCAAAUGGGACUGUAUGGAAACUGAUGUGCUACCACUGCAAGGCAAGAUAAUCUGAAGACAUUGUUUUGUUUAAACUUUCUCUGUACAUAUACUCAUAAAUAUGAAAUAAAAUACUUAAUACAAACGUAAAAGGAUGUUUGUGUAUGUGUGUAGAGGUUUUUUUAACCAAAGAUCAAGAUAUGCUGAACUUCAAAAGGUUAUUUUGGGCCAGGUAAAACUUCAGAGUUUUGUUUCUCCCCAGAAAAGUCAAUAUGGUUUCUGCUCUGCUGUGAUCAAGACUAUUUACUUGACAGUUUAGAAUAAACCUAGAAUCAAUAUCUUUAUCGUGUCAUGUGGAAAUGUAUAUAUGUGUCAGAUAAAACCUUGCAGUUAUAGCAGCAAGAGAG
ensembl:lncRNA